rnacentral:lncRNA from 1 species
GAUGUUUAUUAGCAGUAACCAGUUCUUGCUCAGCUUGUUAAAUCUAAGCUUUGCAAUCUCUGAAGUCAGUUUGCUCAUGCCCCUGCUCCUCUCCCUGGAGCCUUGCUACCUGUCCCAGCCUUGCUUGGGACAGGUUUCUCUGCUGGAGAACUUUAACCACUUCCACUGAAUUUGGACAUAGCAGGGAGUUGUUUUUUCUCAAAUUCUACUGCUUUCCACUCUGUAGGGUGUACUUGUCAUCUGGAGUGAAACAGAAAAGCCAUAGCAGUUGGCUGCUGGAUGUGUAGCCAAAAGAAAAGGAAUUUGUAACUAUGUCUGAAAUCUGUUAAUUGGAGAGAAUAAAUGGAUGAAAUGAAGAAUACGUAAAGUAGAGUGCAAUGUGCUUGACUGCCAACAGCCAUAACUGACAGAAUUUGGCUGCUCCCUCUCAGCAUGGACCUCUUGUCUCCAGUCAAACAGCUUGGAUUAUAAAUGUCCAGUGGAAAUUGUGAAACUCCAUUCCUGCGACAUCAAUUGAAUACUGACAGUGGAGAAAGAGGGGCUGUAGUCCUGCAGCUGAGCAUGCAAGAAGUGCAGCAUAGAGAAGUGUUCAGUUUCCCAUUAAGAAGGAGUCAAGAGAGGAAAUUUUUAAUACCAGAGUGUCAGCUAUAAAGAGACUUUGAUUUGUGAUUAAAGAAACUGAUUGCUAUUGCAUCUGUUCCUGAGAGAAUGGGAAACAAAAAGGGAUAUAUUCUCUCUAAUUAGGAUUACAGCUAAACCUGGGUAUUUCCUACUUGUAAAGGUGAAAAACUUGGCUAUUUGGGCCAGAAAGAAUGAUGGUAUUUGAGUAUGUCUUUCUCUUAUUUCAGACGUGGUCUCUAUUAUUAACUCAAUGUUCAUUUGUUCUUUUAAUUUUUAUUUUUCUUUUUAGUUUUCCCUUUUGAGAGUGAGACAAGAGUAAUGUAUAACCAUGGAAGAAUUUGCAUUGUACAAGGGUUUCCACUCCAUGUUGGCAGACAAGCAGAUGUGGGUCUGGCACCUCAUUUGUGCUCAUUUGGAUUUGUUUACUGACAGUAAACAAACAAAAAUAAACAAAAAACUGUGAGAUAAAAUUUUUUUUCU